ensembl:lncRNA
GUGUCGCGUGUGCUUUGACACAGGCGAUGUGAGACACUCAUGUUCCACACAGCGAACGGGAGGUCUCCGUGCACGCAUGCACGAGCUCACUGGAAGUGAAUCCCGUGACACAAUUGUGAGAUGGAGCCACGGUGGCUUUGCUGGUUCCACUUGGAUUCCAGAAGAGACAUGAAACUGUACCAAAUGUACCAAAUGUAAUCUGAGAUCAACGUUCUGGAGGUGGGGGAUAACUACGUCGAGGCAAUGGAGACACUCGAUGGCCAGAGAGUUGAAGGCCGUAAUGGGAUGCGGCCAGUGCGAGGCCCGUCUGUCAGAAGGUUUAUUGCCCCGCGAUUUGGAGCAAACUCUGGACUUCAAGCAAAUGGAAUCAUUCAGAAAACGAGUUAAAGGAUUCUGUAUCAGAGCAUUGAUACGGUAGUAAACGGAUAUUAUGGAGCUUUUGGUUGCUGCCAUCGCUUUUUCUUUUUUGCAAAUAGAAGGGACAGGAAAUGAUGGAAAAGUAAGGCCUACAAUAUUGGACAAAACCUUUAAAAGGAUACACAAAAUGCUAGAAUUAACAUAAAUAAAAGCACAAAAAGCAAAUAAAAGCAAAUCUAUUUUCAGAUAGAAAGAUAGUUUUCCCAAAAACUCAAAGGCUCCUUGGAGCUGCUUACCGCUGGUAUGCAUGAUGAAAGAAAGCCAAACCUUUACUGUAAUCUCCUUCAUCGUAACCUAAUAUCUAAAAAAAAAAGCCCAUUACAAUGUAAAGAGCUGCAUGCAGUUAACUGAUGACCCUCAGGCUUCAGCCUCUCAGGGGCACAAUCCAUUCUUCCAUCCAAAAGCCGUACCGGCUCGGGGGAACGGAGCCAAUGGUCGCUGCUCACGUUGGGUCCGUACGCAGGGACAGAAAACCAAUUGGCAAUUAACCGCGGGGUGAGAAAUCAGAGCAAACUCAAGAUGACGGCGAGUACAAGCAAAUGUUACACAGGAAGGGCUCGGGGGGACCGGCCGGCACGAGUACGAUAUGCUAAACACAUCAACGUCAGCUUUCCUGAAAUGAGAUCCCCUUGAGCCUUAUAGGUAUCUCAAUAUAUCCGUUACAGCGGUUGUGAUUGGGUUUUGAGCCUGGGCCAAAAACGCCUUCACGAGGUGUUUGAAAUUGAAAUCAAGGGGUACGAAUUUCAUUUGGGAUCGGGGGCCGGUUAAAGAAGCCCCCCCCCCAAUCUCCCCCCGAGCAUAAAGGCAUAGCAGCUAUGUUUUAAAUUAAGCAACCAGGAGAUGUGGAGACAAACCGAACCUCAACAAUGCCUCAACAGUGCCUCGGUGGUCCUGCUCUCGCCGUUUGUUGUUGCUUGAGGUUCCGAACAUUGUCUUCCCCCAAAACCGCAACCCUCAAAGUUGUUCUUUCUUCCCAGUGUACGUGUGCCUACUGUAUCCUCUGUGGCUCGCAUCUGCUACAAAAACAAUGUUCUCAGUGGUGGUCGGCUGGUACAGUACAAUGCAGCCCUCAGUAAUCCAAAACUGUCCUCACCGAGGGGAAUAGGGAAGGGGAAAAUUUAGAAACCAUAUCUUUUUCAUCUCGCGCGGUCAGGAAUGUGAGCGUAAGUAUUAUCUGAGAGGAGGGGGGGACGGGCGGUAGGUGGGGGCUCUGAGAGCAGAACUCACUUAUAAGUGAAGUACAGCGAAGCUUCCAUGUGUGACUGUUCCUGGUCAAGCACAUUGGAUCCCAUUUUAUAAAGUACUUAGAGGCUCUGUACACCCCUCGGUGUAAUGAUGAACUGUUAAUACCACCACGUGUAAUUACUUGUAUAAUAAACCGCUCAUAAUCACUCUAGAAGCCAUUUACUUACGGCACUUCAGGCAAAGAUAUCAAUCAGUGACAGAGGGACACAAGCCCAGAGACUUGGGAUAACAAUCAAAAACACAACAAGAGUGACCUUUCAGUGUAAACCGACUCGGUCGUCUUGUUGCCAGACGUGAAAUCCAAGGCCCCUGGCAGGAAAUCCAGCGCGUGCUGUUGACAUCGCAACUCAUCCGUGACAGACAAGGAAAAACACUCGUGGAGAGGAAGAGAGAAAACGGCAGAAGACAGAGUGCUGUCGUUGGUCAAUAUUACAACGUUCAGGGAAGGAAAUAAAGAGCUUUUAAAGCAGAGAUUGCAGAUGUUGGAAAUGAUCACGUGGUUGCUAAAUACAGCAGUUGGAGAACUGUGCUGUUACUUCUGUGCAUUACAAUGUCGAUAAAUCACAUUUUGAAUAAUGGCUGCAGAGUCCAUUAAAUCCGGCAUCUUUGCGAAGGUUUUAGUUGAUGCGGUUUCUGUCACGUUUGUCCAUUUCAUUUCAUAUUAUUGGUCCCCGUAUAGCAUUACUAUUAAAAAUCAACAGUAAAGACACUGUAAUUUGUUACAUUUAUAAUGCCCCCAAGCACCUUUAGGAUUGUAGCUCUGCUUUGGGGCUCAGCAGUGUGCCGUACAGAACUGGGGCUGGUUUUUAACGUCCAUUAUAAAGCGUCAAAUAGUGGCCUGUAGUUUGUCUUUUGGGGGCAGUGAGGAGAAUCUGGGCUUGAGCACAGCUGGUUUCUGUGCGAAGUGGACUAUGCUAACGAGAAAGUCACUUAGCAUCUGAUCAACGUGCAAAGGGGAAAACAGGAAUUACUAAAUGUAUGACCGUUGAACGUUACGGGUGGGUAAGUCAUUAUUAACGGCUGUUAAUGGACGCGUCCUUCAGGCAAAUUCACCGCUGCAGAGAGACGUGGCCGAACCUCCAUCGUCUCCUUUUCUGGACGUUGUUGAUGUUGGCAGUACGUCGGUUUCUGAUGCCGCGAGAGCCGACUCAGGGUGCUUCUUUCUCGUUCACACACACACACACACACACACACACACACACACACACACACACACACACACACACACACACACACACACACACACACACACACACAUUUGGAUGGGAAAUGUGUGUUGGCAAUGUGACAGGAGUUAGUAACAGAAAUCUGAUCCACUGUGGAAAAAAAUACAGACGAGACUCUAAACUCUAAACGCGAUGCAACAGAUAGUAAUCAUAAACUUUUAUUCUGAAUGUAUCUUAUUUGCACAUGAAUUCACACAUUUUUACUCCCCAUGAUUAUAAACAUUGUUCUUUUUGUUGAGGACACCAUCAGUUUUGUACAAAUGUUUACAUGUUUGAUUCUGGAGAAUCAAGUUCCAGUAAAGUGUAAGCCCGCCUUAAAACCGAAGGCGGAGAAAGAUUGACUGACAGCCAAUCGUCUGCCAGAGAGUGGCAGCGAGGUAAAAGACAUAAACACACACACACACACACACACACACACACACACACACACACACACACACACACACACACACACACACACACACACAGACAGCUAAUCCUCAAGAUUCCCGAAAUAAAAAGGCGAACCCACACAAUCCGUACAGACAGCACCAACAGACAGAGUCAAAAACACAGAGAGAAUAUUAUUCGAGAAGUGACAGCAUCUGAUUUUAGCACUUAAGAGUGGAAAGAAUGAGCUCAUGUUCCUUUUGCAACGUUUUUUGUUGUUUUCUGUGCAGCUCUAAAAGCAGCAAGUUGGGGCAUUUUUGGCGGUUCUAUACUUCAUCACUUAAAAGACCAUACCGGUCUUUUCCGACUUUUCAGGCAGGCGUCGUUUUCCAUUACUUUCCCACACGGAACCCACGACAUCACCAACGGCACUCACUGUUCACACGUGUGUCAUGUAAAAAACAAAAACAUUUCAUUGAGAAGCAGACUGAAGACUCUGCAAACUGUUUGAAGGAAAAAUGCAGCUCUGAUGGGAUCGUUUGGGAUUACAGGAAGGUCAACAAUUCAAACCAGCUGAAUGGCAACGAACCAAACAGCCGUGGAGACGUUUCCCUCUGUGCCGCAACCCGAGACGACCCGAUGCUGACCCGGGAGGAGGGUGGAGCCAAACGCUGUCCCGCCUCCCAAGAGAAAGGCAGUAAUAGCUGAUCAUCACAAUACGAAUGCAGAAUGUUAUCCUUCCCAACAUCACACACUGAAGCAGGAGGCGUGAAUAGAUUGUAAAGCCACUACCGCGCAGCGCGGGGACACGGUCCAUGAGACGUACGUGUUGUAUUGGGUUAGAGUAAAGAAGUGCACACAGAAGAGUUUCAGUCGAUGACGGCGGAGC